GACGAACGCUGGCGGCGUGCUUAACACAUGCAAGUCGAACGAGUGGCGAACGGGUGAGUAACACGUGGGUGACCUGCCCUGCACUUCGGGAUAAGCCUGGGAAACUGGGUCUAAUACCGGAUAGUGUGGGAUGGGCCCGCGGCCUAUCAGCUUGUUGGUGGGGUAAUGGCUACCAAGGCGCGACGGGUAGCCGGCCUGGGAGGGUGGACGGCCACAUUGGGACUGAGACAAGGCCCAGAAGUCUACGGGGGGCAGCAGUGGGGAAUAUUGCACAAUGGGGGGAAGCCUGGUGCAGCGACGCCGGGUGGUUGAAGAAGGUUUUCGGGGUGGAAAGCUCUGUUGUUAAGGAAGCGGUACUUAACCAGAAAGGGACGGCUAACUACGUGCCAGCAGCCGCGGUAAUAC
rnacentral:rRNA from 1 species